UGCAGAUGAUGUUUAUCUCACGAUGGUCUUCCAAGCAUUCGGCUCUGACGACACUGCCUCAUGGCAACACUGAUGCAGCUCA